rnacentral:tRNA from 1 species
GGGUGAUUAGCUCAGUUGGGAGAGCACAUCCCUUACAAGGAGGGGGUCGGCGGUUCGAUCCCGUCAUCACCCACCA